UGAGGAAUAUUGGUCAAUGGCCGAGAGGCUGAACCAGCCAAGUCGCGUGAAGGAUGAAGGAUCUAUGGUUUGUAAACUUCUUUUAUAGGGGAAUAAAGUGCGGCACGUGUGCCGUUUUGUAUGUACCCUAUGAAUAAGCAUCGGCUAACUCCGUGCCAGCAGCCGCGGUAAUACGGAGGAUGCGAGCGUUAUCCGGAUUUAUUGGGUUUAAAGGGUGCGUAGGCGGUCUGUUAAGUCAGCGGUAAAAUUGCGGGGCUCAACCUCGCCGAGCCGUUGAAACUGGUAGACUCGAGUGGGCGAGAAGUACGCGGAAUGCGUGGUGUAGCGGUGAAAUGCAUAGAUAUCACGCAGAACUCCGAUUGCGAAGGCAGCGUACCGGCGCCCAACUGACGCUGAAGCACGAAGGCGUGGGUAUCGAACAGGAUUAGAUACC
rnacentral:rRNA from 1 species